UACAGAGGGUGCAAGCGUUGUUCGGAAUUAUUGGGCGUAAAGCGCGUGUAGGCGGCUUUGCAAGUGGCGGGUGAAAUCCCCCGGCUUAACCGAGGAACUGCCUGUCAAACUGCAUGGCUUGAGACCAGGAGAGGUGAGUGGAAUUCCCAGUGUAGCGGUGAAAUGCGUAGAUAUUGGGAGGAACACCAGUGGCGAAGGCGGCUCACUGGACUGGUACUGACGCUGAUGCGCGAAAGCGUGGGGAGCAAACAGG
rnacentral:rRNA from 1 species